CCUACGGGUGGCAGCAGUGGGGAAUAUUGCACAAUGGGGGAAACCCUGAUGCAGCGACGCCGCGUGAAGGAUGAAGUAUUUAGGUAUGUAAACUUCUAUCAGCAGAGAAGAAAAUGACGGUAUCUGACUAAUAAGCCCCGGCUAACUCCGUGCCAGCAGCCGCGGUAAUACGUAGGGGGCAAGCGUUAUCCGGAUUUACUGGGUGUAAAGGGAGCGUAGGCGGUUUAGUAAGUCAGAAGUGAAAGCCUGGGGCUCAACUCCGGGACUGCUUUUGAAACUGUUGAACUGGAGUGCAGGAGAGGUAGGUGGAAUUCCUGGUGUAGGGGUGAAAUCCGUAGAUAUUAAGAGGAACACUAGUGGCGAAGGCGACCUGCUGGAAUGUAAAUGACGCUGAGGCUCGAAAGCGUGGGGAGCAAACAGGAUUAGAUACCCCGGUAGUC
rnacentral:rRNA from 1 species